rnacentral:lncRNA from 1 species
CCAUAGCAUGCAUACUCAGCAAUAUAAAGAGAGAGACGUGUUAGGAGGUUACCUAUCUUUUUCCUCAGGCCUGGCUGAAUAUUUGUCUACCCUUGUGACAUGAUAAAACAACAAGAUAUGAAAGAACUUGAUCAGCUAGCUGUGUGCUUCGCAAACAAUUAUGCACAUACUGCGGGACUGGAAGCAAGAAUAUUUGUAUGCAUGCUGCUGUCUUGUUGGCAAGGCUGGACUCCUAAAAUGUGUUUCUACCCAGUACAUGAUGAAUUAUUCUGCAGACUAAUUCUGUGGUUUAUAGGUUGCUGUAGGCCACUCAUGAAGUCAUGAGCAUGGUCAUUCAAAUACAGAACACUUAUAAAUUCUGGCUUUAAAGUAUACAUAUAAACUUCUUUCUAUGCAACUGUAGCUUGAGUCACCCAUCCUGAAUAAUAAUGUCUUUGCCAGGUGUUGUGGGAUAAGUUGGGAUUUUUUUUUUUAUGAAAGCAGUGGAACAUUAUUGUACCUGACUGUUCUUAUGGCCACCAGUGUUCUUGAAAUAUUAACAAAAGAGAUGAUG